rnacentral:rRNA from 1 species
CCUACGGGUGGCAGCAGUGGGGGAUAUUGCACAAUGGGGGGAACCCUGAUGCAGCGACGCCGCGUGGGUGAAGAAGCGCCUCGGCGCGUAAAGCCCUGUCAGCAGGGAAGAAAAUGCCGGUACCUGAAGAAGAAGCCCCGGCUCAAUACGUGCCAGCCGGCGCGGUAAUACGGAGGGGUCAAGCUUUAUCCGGAUUUCCUGGGUGUAAAGGGGGCGCAGACGGGGAUGCAAGCCAGGAGGGAAAGCCCGGGGCCCAACCCCGGGACUGCUCUUGGAACUGCGUGGCUGGAGUGCAGGAGGGGCAGGCGGAAUGCGUGGUGUAGCGGUGAAAUGCGUAGAUAUCAGGAGGAACACCGGUGGCGAAGGCGGCCUGCUGGACUGCAACUGACGUUGAGGCCCGAAAGCGUGGGGAGCGAACAGGAUUAGAUACCCCAGUAGUC